AUUGAACGCUGGCGGCAGGCUUAACACAUGCAAGUCGAGCGGUAGCACAGGAGAGCUUGCUCUCUGGGUGACGAGCGGCGGACGGGUGAGUAAUGUCUGGGAAACUGCCUGAUGGAGGGGGAUAACUACUGGAAACGGUAGCUAAUACCGCAUAACGUCGCAAGACCAAAGAGGGGGACCUUCGGGCCUCUUGCCAUCAGAUGUGCCCAGAUGGGAUUAGCUAGUAGGUGGGGUAAUGGCUCACCUAGGCGACGAUCCCUAGCUGGUCUGAGAGGAUGACCAGCCACACUGGAACUGAGACACGGUCCAGACUCCUACGGGAGGCAGCAGUGGGGAAUAUUGCACAAUGGGCGCAAGCCUGAUGCAGCCAUGCCGCGUGUGUGAAGAAGGCCUUCGGGUUGUAAAGCACUUUCAGCGAGGAGGAAGGUGGUGAACUUAAUACGUUCAUCAAUUGACGUUACUCGCAGAAGAAGCACCGGCUAACUCCGUGCCAGCAGCCGUGGUAAUACGGAGGGUGCAAGCGUUAAUCGGAAUUACUGGGCGUAAGCGCACGCAGGCGGUUUGUUAAGUCAGAUGUGAAAUCCCCGGGCUCAACCUGGGAACUGCAUUUGAAACUGGCAAGCUAGAGUCUCGUAGAGGGGGGUAGAAUUCCAGGUGUAGCGGUGAAAUGCGUAGAGAUCUGGAGGAAUACCGGUGGCGAAGGCGGCCCCCUGGACGAAGACUGACGCUCAGGUGCGAAAGCGUGGGGAGCAAACAGGAUUAGAUACCCUGGUAGUCCACGCUGUAAACGAUGUCGAUUUGGAGGUUGUGCCCUUGAGGCGUGGCUUCCGGAGCUAACGCGUUAAAUCGACCGCCUGGGGAGUACGGCCGCAAGGUUAAAACUCAAAUGAAUUGACGGGGGCCCGCACAAGCGGUGGAGCAUGUGGUUUAAUUCGAUGCAACGCGAAGAACCUUACCCACUCUUGACAUCCAGAGAACUUUCCAGAGAUGGAUUGGUGCCUUCGGGAACUCUGAGACAGGUGCUGCAUGGCUGUCGUCAGCUCGUGUUGUGAAAUGUUGGGUUAAGUCCCGCAACGAGCGCAACCCUUAUCCUUUGUUGCCAGCGGUUCGGCCGGGAACUCAAAGGAGACUGCCAGUGAUAAACUGGAGGAAGGUGGGGAUGACGUCAAGUCAUCAUGGCCCUUACGAGUAGGGCUACACACGUGCUACAAUGGCAUAUACAAAGAGAAGCGACCUCGCGAGAGCAAGCGGACCUCAUAAAGUAUGUCGUAGUCCGGAUUGGAGUCUGCAACUCGACUCUAUGAAGUCGAAAUCGCUAGUAAUCGUAGAUCAGAAUGCUACGGUGAAUACGUUCCCGGGCCU
rnacentral:rRNA from 1 species